GGGCUCGCUUCAGCAGCAUAUAUACUAAAAUUGGAAUGAUGCAGAGAAGAUUAGCAUGGCUCCUGUGCAUGGAUGACACACAAAUUCGUGAAGCGUUCCAUAUUUUU
rnacentral:snRNA from 1 species